GCGCGGCAAUCUAGACAGGAAGAAGGCCAAAGCAACGAAGAAUGAACCGCCACGUUCGGUUUAAAAAAUAGUUUUUUGACGAUAUUAAGAUAUGAUAUUACUUUGAUAUUAAUACGGAUAGUGUAGUAAAACCACAGCACACCUGUCAACCCACGUGUUCACUUUCAGACGGACAGCUGGGAUAGGCUCCAGCAUACCAGCGACCCCAGUGAGGAUAAGAGUCAUCCAGAAAUGGAGGGUAUUUCACAGCGUUAACGCCAAGCCAGAACCACCGCUCUUGUCAUUGAGCUGAUUGACCACUAGAGGGCAGCAUCCCAACAUGACGCGGCCUGUUCAAGCCCGGGAUGAACUUGAGGAAGCGCCUUCGGAAGUUCCUGUGCUUCCUCUGCAACGCGCCCAAGCCUGACGACUUGUCGGCGGCGAUGGCGGGCGGCGUCGGCGAGGCCCCGCGCACGUAACUGCGAGUGCUGGCGCUGCGGGUCAGAUGCGUCUUGGCCGACAUGAAGAGCUCGCUGGCGGGCCGCACGCGCUGCUUCCUGGCGGGCGGCGCCGGCGGUUUGCGCCCGCCGUCAGAGUCGCCCCCCGCUUGGUACGAGCACGUCUGGUAGAGUGGGUCGUCGUCCGUGGCGGCGCUGAGGACGCUGGCGCUGCUGCCGGUGCUGCUGGUGCGAAGCGGCGACCGGAGAGAGGCGGGGCUGGGGACGCCCAGGCUGCCGUACACGCCCGCCGACUCCAGGGACUCGUACACGGUGCCGUCGCACAUCACGAUGCCUGCCGCACACAAAACACGCAAAAUUGGUUUUGAUGUUUGAAAAAAAUGGCUAAAUUUAAACAUAGAAAAAUUAAGAAAUUUUAAAGAAGUUUUUCAAACAACAUUACAAAAUUGAAAUAGUCUUGAAUGUUUAAAAAAGUACAAAAAGUAAAAAAAAAAAUUGUAUUCAAUUUUUAAAAAAGUUUUCAGAAAAGAAAUAUAAUUAUAAUUGAUAUUUUUAAAAACACAUUUUUCCAAAACAGUUUUUUAAAAUGAGGAACUUGAUUUAAAAAAAAUU